CCUACGGGUGGCAGCAGUGAGGAAUAUUGGUCAAUGGGCGGGAGCCUGAACCAGCCAAGUCGCGUGAGGGAAGACGGUCCUAUGGAUUGUAAACCUCUUUAGGCGGGGAGCAAUGCCGGGCACGCGUGCCCGGAGGGAGAGUACCCGCAGAAUAAGCAUCGGCUAACUCCGUGCCAGCAGCCGCGGUAAUACGGAGGAUGCGAGCGUUAUCCGGAUUUAUUGGGUUUAAAGGGUGCGUAGGCGGAUUUUUAAGUCAGCGGUAAAAUGUCCGGGCUCAACCCGGGCCGGCCGUUGAAACUGGUUUUCUUGAGUGAGUGAGAAGUAUGCGGAAUGCGUGGUGUAGCGGUGAAAUGCAUAGAUAUCACGCAGAACUCCGAUUGCGAAGGCAGCAUACCGGCGCUCAACUGACGCUCAUGCACGAAAGUGUGGGUAUCGAACAGGAUUAGAUACCCGAGUAGUC
rnacentral:rRNA from 1 species